rnacentral:rRNA from 1 species
GAUGAACGCUGGCGGCGUGCCUAAUACAUGCAAGUCGAGCGAACAGACGAGGAGCUUGCUCCUCUGACGUUAGCGGCGGACGGGUGAGUAACACGUGGAUAACCUACCUAUAAGACUGGGAUAACUUCGGGAAACCGGAGCUAAUACCGGAUAAUAUAUUAAGCCGCAUGGUUCAAUAGUGAAAGACGGUUUUGCUGUCACUUAUAGAUGGAUCCGCGCCGCAUUAGCUAGUUGGUAAGGUAACGGCUUACCAAGGCAACGAUGCGUAGCCGACCUGAGAGGGUGAUCGGCCACACUGGAACUGAGACACGGUCCAGACUCCUACGGGAGGCAGCAGUAGGGAAUCUUCCGCAAUGGGCGAAAGCCUGACGGAGCAACGCCGCGUGAGUGAUGAAGGUCUUCGGAUCGUAAAACUCUGUUAUUAGGGAAGAACAAAUGUGUAAGUAACUAUGCACGUCUUGACGGUACCUAAUCAGAAAGCCACGGCUAACUACGUG